rnacentral:lncRNA from 1 species
AACAAGACAUCUGUAACACCCCCUAACCCUUAUCCGUCGCCAGAAUAGGGUUACAGAGCAUUAUCAUACAUUACAGAUCAUAUACUAAUAAUUCAUAAUUAUUUACACAUAAACAUCAUAAUUCAAUUAUAUAGUCCCUUUAUGAACCUUCAAGGCCCAAAACACAUAUUAGAAACGAAUCGGGACUUAAUCAGAAACUCAGAGAAUUUUUCACGAAAUUUU